AGUCAAACUUGGUCAUUUAGAGGUCGUAAAAGUCGUAACAAGGUUUCCGUAGGUGAACCUG
rnacentral:rRNA from 1 species